UGGCUCAGGAUGAACGCUGGCGGCGUGCCUAAUACAUGCAAGUCGAACGAGUUCUGAUUAUUGAAAGGUGCUUGCAUCUUGAUUUUAAUUUUGAACGAGUGGCGGACGGGUGAGUAACACGUGGGUAACCUGCCCUUAAGUGGGGGAUAACAUUUGGAAACAGAUGCUAAUACCGCAUAAAUCCAAGAACCGCAUGGUUCUUGGCUGAAAGAUGGCGUAAGCUAUCGCUUUUGGAUGGACCCGCGGCGUAUUAGCUAGUUGGUGAGGUAACGGCUCACCAAGGCAAUGAUACGUAGCCGAACUGAGAGGUUGAUCGGCCACAUUGGGACUGAGACACGGCCCAAACUCCUACGGGAGGCAGCAGUAGGGAAUCUUCCACAAUGGACGCAAGUCUGAUGGAGCAACGCCACGUGAGUGAAGAAGGCUUUCGGGUCGUAAAACUCUGCUGUUGGAGAAGAAUGGUCGGCAGAGUAACUGUUGUCGGCGUGACGGUAUCCAACCAGAAAGCCACGGCUAACUACGUGCCAGCAGCCGCGGUAAUACGUAGGUGGCAAGCGUUAUCCGGAUUUAUUGGGCGUAAAGCGAGCGCAGGCGGUUUUUUAAGUCUGAUGUGAAAGCCCUCGGCUUAACCGAGGAAGUGCAUCGGAAACUGGGAAACUUGAGUGCAGAAGAGGACAGUGGAACUCCAUGUGUAGCGGUGAAAUGCGUAGAUAUAUGGAAGAACACCAGUGGCGAAGGCGGCUGUCUGGUCUGUAACUGACGCUGAGGCUCGAAAGCAUGGGUAGCGAACAGGAUUAGAUACCCUGGUAGUCCAUGCCGUAAACGAUGAAUGCUAGGUGUUGGAGGGUUUCCGCCCUUCAGUGCCGCAGCUAACGCAUUAAGCAUUCCGCCUGGGGAGUACGACCGCAAGGUUGAAACUCAAAGGAAUUGACGGGGGCCCGCACAAGCGGUGGAGCAUGUGGUUUAAUUCGAAGCAACGCGAAGAGCCUUACCAGGUCUUGACAUCUUUUGAUCACCUGAGAGAUCAGGUUUCCCCUUCGGGGGCAAAAUGACAGGUGGUGCAUGGUUGUCGUCAGCUCGUGUCGUGAGAUGUUGGGUUAAGUCCCGCAACGAGCGCAACCCUUAUGACUAGUUGCCAGCAUUUAGUUGGGCACUCUAGUAAGACUGCCGGUGACAAACCGGAGGAAGGUGGGGAUGACGUCAAAUCAUCAUGCCCCUUAUGACCUGGGCUACACACGUGCUACAAUGGAUGGUACAACGAGUUGCGAGACCGCGAGGUCAAGCUAACCUCUUAAAGCCAUUCUCAGUUCGGACUGUAGGCUGCAACUCGCCUACACGAAGUCGGAAUCGCUAGUAAUCGCGGAUCAGCACGCCGCGGUGAAUACGUUCCCGGGCCUUGUACACACCGCCCGUCACACCAUGAGAGUUUGUAACACCCGAAGCCGGUGGCGUAACCCUUUUAGGGAGCGAGCCGUCUAAGGUGGGACAAAUGA
rnacentral:rRNA from 1 species